UGUAAGAAUUUAAUUUUGGUUCGGAUUGAACGUUAUUCAGUAGUUUAAGACAUGCAAAUCUUUUUUUCAAAAUACUAUAAUAAUAAUAUUAUACGAUAUUAGAAAAAAGGUGUUAAGGUGAGUAUAUAGAUAAGAUACCCUAUAGUCACAAUAAAUAGGUGAUAAAGACUAAUUUGUACAAGCAACCUUCAAUAGUGGGUACCCUUACCUCUUUUCCCCUUUUUUCUCCCGCACCCGAUCCGCAACCGCGGUUAGGGAAGGGUAGAAUCAGGGUUCGGAGGUCAAGGUUACCUGCACACCCCUUAGCCACACCCGAAUCGUAAGAUAAGGGUAAAGAUACUCUUUCCUCAACCUCCAUCCUCAAAAGGGAACGGGAAGAGGGAAUGGUUGUGGCUCUGGCAGUGGAAGGGUCAAAGGAAAUUUUCCGCUUUAGGAUUCUAUUUAUUCGGAUUAGGUAGUAGGUAGGGUAAAGGCCUACCUAGCCGACGAUCUGGAGCUAAGCUUGAUAGAGCCGAUGGCCACAUUGGGAAUGAAAUCUCCCUAGUAGUGUUAACUACCAGCAGUCUAGAAUUUUAGUCAAUGCUCGCAAGAGUGAACUAGCUAACUGAAAUCUUAAAAAGAUAAGGUAAGGGAAAAUAAUGAUACUACCUUACUAUAGUGUUGUCUAAAUACCUGGUGCCAGAAGACUCGGUAAGGCCAGAAACGCGAACGUUAGUCCUAAUAAACAGGCGUAAAGGGUAUGUAGGCAGCUUCUUAAAAAAAAUAGAAGAAGAUAGAAUCUAGUAGAGGUCAAUAACAAAUAAUGCUUAGAGUAGGGUUAAAAUCCUUAGAAACUACAGUGGAAUACUAAUGGCGAAGGCAUUUGACCAAUAAAGAUUGACGCUGAAAGACGAAGGUAAGGAGAGGAAAUAGGCUUAGAGACCCAUGAACCCCUUACAGUAAACGAUGAAUGGUGGUGAUCAGUUAUUAACUGGUUUCGAGGCUAACGCGAUGACCAUUCCGCCUUGUGAGUACGAUUCCACAAUUGAAAACAAAAAAAUUAGUCGGUCUCGAAGCAAACGAAGUGAAGCAUGUUAUUUAAUACGAUAACCCGCGUAAAAUCUUACCAGUCCUUGUAUAAAAAUUAUUAAUUUUUUUAUUUUUACUUCUACCCUCGGGUGCAAAUCAAAAUAAAAAAAACAAAUAAGAGUGUUUAAAUUUUAUGAUAAAAUUUAUAAAUUUUAAUGCUUAAUACAGGUGUUGCAUGGCUGUCUUCAGUCCGUAUCGUAAGAAGUUAGGUUAACUCCACAAACGGACGAAAUCCCUUUUGUUAAUUUAUACAUAACAAAUAAGUGAGUUUGAUAGAGACUCAUUUAGGGGCUAAGACAAGUCGUUAUGGCCCUUAUGGACUGGGCUAUAGACGUGCCACAAAAACUUUAACAAAGUGAUGCGAUACCCUCUCAAAAUUAAUCUUAUAAUACAAAUUUGAUUAAUAAUUUACUUCAAUAGUUAUAAUAAUUUACUUCAAGAGGUUUAAUAUAAGUAAAUUGAGAAUUAAGGAGGAGCUAAUCAUUAAAAAAAGUUAAUUUACUAAACGGUGCCGGAUUGUCACCUGAAAUUCGGUGGCAUGAAGCAGGAAUUUCGAGUAAUCGUUGAUCAUUAACGCAACGGUGAAGCUAGGAUUCGUGAUGAACUAACUGUCUGUCGCUGGGGCGGAGCUUAAUUUGGUGGAAAUAGGAGUAUAGUUAAUAUUUUUCUUAGGUUUAGUUUUAACGCUAAAUUUUUUUAGUCAAUUGUAUUUAAACACCUUUGUUAAUUUAGCUUGCUUGACUUAAGUCAGUUAAGUAACAUCUCAAAAGUCAUAGCAGGGUAGCUGUGCUGGAAGGUGUAGCUGGAUAAUAAUAAAUUUUAACC
rnacentral:rRNA from 1 species